AGACCUUGGUAUACUGAAUGACUCAAAUCCAGGAAUGUUUUUCACAUAUUUUUGUCCAAAAUACAAAGGUACAAAACAGGUACAACCAGUAUACUGUGACUUCAAUCAUUGUACACCCAAUAUGACGAAAGAAACAGUAGAAAUGUUGGUAACACCCAUGAUGGUACAGGUGGAGCAAAAUAUUUUGGAAUCGAAGAACCAAUGACUAAAAGGGAAGGAAUAUAAGGGGAUUCAUAUUAAUGCCAGUGUUCACCUGAUCAGUUCAGUAAACCGAGAAACAAGUCAAACAGAGAAAACAACAGCAACACAUACUGGACUUGGAUAUUGAUGACUUGCUAAGGCGUUCUUUUGGGACAAUUAGUAGAAUAAAGAAGACUUCAGUGAAACAACCACAUUUUAUUUAAUUAUUAUUUCAGGGGGGGGGUGAAGAUAUGGAAGAAAAAAGGACCAGAAGGAGGAUGCUGCUGUUGUGUUUAGCUGUGCUAACAACAUCGAUAACUGCGCAGUCAACCAUAGAGGCUCCAACAACAACCACAGCUGAACCUACAACUACCACAGAAGCUCCAACAACAACCACAGCU